AGUGAACGCUGGCGGUAGGCCUAACACAUGCAAGUCGAACGGCAGCACAGUAAGAGCUUGCUCUUACGGGUGGCGAGUGGCGGACGGGUGAGGAAUACAUCGGAAUCUACUUUUUCGUGGGGGAUAACGUAGGGAAACUUACGCUAGUACCGCAUACGACCUACGGGUGAAAGCAGGGGAUCUUCGGACCUUGCGCGAUUGAAUGAGCCGAUGUCGGAUUAGCUAGUUGGCGGGGUAAAGGCCCACCAAGGCGACGAUCCGUAGCUGGUCUGAGAGGAUGAUCAGCCACACUGGAACUGAGACACGGUCCAGACUCCUACGGGAGGCAGCAGUGGGGAAUAUUGGACAAUGGGCGCAAGCCUGAUCCAGCCAUACCGCGUGGGUGAAGAAGGCCUUCGGGUUGUAAAGCCCUUUUGUUGGGAAAGAAAAGCAGCAGGUUAAUACCCCGCUGUUCUGACGGUACCCAAAGGAUAAGCACCGGCUAACUUCGUG
rnacentral:rRNA from 1 species